rnacentral:misc_RNA from 1 species
GAUGAAGAACGCAGCGAAAUGCGAUACGUAAUGUGAAUUGCAGAAUUCAGUGAAUCAUCGAAUCUUUGAACGCAUAUUGCGCUCUCUGGUAUUCCGGAGAGCAUGCUGUUUGAGUAUCAGUAAACACCUCAACUUCCAUAUCUUUUUUGAAAUGGGAGUUGGACUUGAGUGAUCCCAACGCUUUUCCUCACCGAAAAGUGGCGGGUUACUUGAAAUGCAGGUGCAGCUGGACUUUUCUCUGAGCUAUAAGCAUAUCUAUUUAGUCUGCCUAAAAAACAGAUUAUUACCUUUGCUGCAGCUAACAUAAAGGAGAUUAGUUCUUGUGCUGACUGAUGCAGGAUUCACAAAGACAGGCUUCGGCCGACUUUGUAAACUCGAUCUCAAAUCAAGUAAGACUACCCGCUGAACUUAAGCAUAUCAAUAAGCGGAGGA